rnacentral:rRNA from 2 species
UGGUGGGUAGUUUGACUGGGGCGGUCUCCUCCUAAAGAGUAACGGAGGAGCACGAAGGUUGGCUAAUCCUGGUCGGACAUCAGGAGGUUAGUGCAAUGGCAUAAGCCAGCUUGACUGCGAGCGUGACGGCGCGAGCAGGUGCGAAAGCAGGUCAUAGUGAUCCGGUGGUUCUGAAUGGAAGGGCCAUCGCUCAACGGAUAAAAGGUACUCCGGGGAUAACAGGCUGAUACCGCCCAAGAGUUCAUAUCGACGGCGGUGUUUGGCACCUCGAUGUCGGCUCAUCACAUCCUGGGGCUGAAGUAGGUCCCAAGGGUAUGGCUGUUCGCCAUUUAAAGUGGUACGCGAGCUGGGUUUAGAACGUCGUGAGACAGUUCGGUCCCUAUCUGCCGUGGGCGCUGGAGAACUGAGGGGGGCUGCUCCUAGUACGAGAGGACCGGAGUGGACGCAUCACUGGUGUUCGGGUUGUCAUGCCAAUGGCACUGCCCGGUAGCUAAAUGCGGAAGAGAUAAGUGCUGAAAGCAUCUAAGCACGAAACUUGCCCCGAGAUGAGUUCUCCCUGAGACUUUAAGUCUCCUGAAGGAACGUUGAAGACGACGACGUUGAUAGGCCGGGUGUGUAA